rnacentral:rRNA from 2 species
CGUGCCCUUUGCUACGGAAUAGUCCCGGGAAACUGGGUUUAAUACCGUAUGUGCCCUUCGGGGGAAAGAUUUAUCGGCAAAGGAUCGGCCCGCGUUGGAUUAGGUAGUUGGUGGGGUAAUGGCCUACCAAGCCGACGAUCCAUAGCUGGUUUGAGAGGAUGAUCAGCCACACUGGGACUGAGACACGGCCCAGACUCCUACGGGAGGCAGCAGUGGGGAAUCUUAGACAAUGGGGGCAACCCUGAUCUAGCCAUGCCGCGUGAGUGAUGAAGGCCUUAGGGUUGUAAAGCUCUUUCAGCUGGGAAGAUAAUGACGGUACCAGCAGAAGAAGCCCCGGCUAACUCCGUGCCAGCAGCCGCGGUAAUACGGAGGGGGCUAGCGUUGUUCGGAAUUACUGGGCGUAAAGCGCACGUAGGCGGACUGGAAAGUUGGGGGUGAAAUCCCGGGGCUCAACCUCGGAACUGCCUCCAAAACUAUCAGUCUGGAGUUCGAGAGAGGUGA